rnacentral:rRNA from 1 species
UAGUAUGGGGAUCUGCCCGAUAGAGGGGGAUAACUACUGGAAACGGUGGCUAAUACCGCAUAAUGUCUGCGGACCAAAGCAGGGGCUCUUCGGACCUUGCACUAUCGGAUGAACCCAUAUGGGAUUAGCUAGUAGGUGGGGUAAAGGCUCACCUAGGCGACGAUCUCUAGCUGGUCUGAGAGGAUGAUCAGCCACACUGGGACUGAGACACGGCCCAG